ACCAGCUGCCUUCUCGCUCACACCAGCGCCCGGCUCAGCCCCUGCUGACAAGCCACUUAUCAGCAGUUAUCAGGUCUUGGCUGGAGCGUUCCCUCAAGAACCUACUCCGCAUACCUUCGUGCUGAGGAAAUUCCACAUCUGAGACCUGCGCCACGCCGCCCUGCUCUACCGGCCCAGGUCUCCUUCAGCAAAACAAACGUUAGCAGCAUUUAAGCCAUUACUCCGAUGCUGCCUUACAAGAGGCAGAGCGCAAGCGAGGAAUGGAAAAAGCCCUCACUGCUCACAGCGUUGCCCGAGAGGUUUUGACAGUAACGUCCGCAGCACGAUGAGAAAUACUGUGGGAUUGGCACGUUUCCUUCCUGAAGGUUUUGCAAAACGCACUUCUUCUGCUGUGAAAAUCAAAGCCAGACUCAGCAUCAAACGAUUAAAGGUUAACUAAGACUUCAAACGAGCGCCAUGCAAUGGGUCAUUCUCCUACGGAUUAUGGAACACAAAGUAGCCCUCGGUAUUAAUAUCUGCAUUUAAUUACGGCCGUGUCUGAGGGUGAUGAGCAGAAAAACACAGGCUUUGUUACAGAUGUGCAUUUCGCUGUGGAAAUUCUUUGGAAAGAAAAACAUUGCUGCACCUGUUAGGCACCAAACGCCAACCAUUUCUCAGCACUAUGGGGCAAGUGGCCCACGUUUGGGGUGAAACGAAGCUGGAGUUGUUUUAAAAUAAGCACAAGAGUCUGCUAAAAUACAGUGCUUUCUUAUUCGAUGGGAAACAAGGUCCGCUGGCUCGGGAUGUGAGGAUGCAAACACAAACCAGGCUGGAAGAAAGCUCGGUGAAGUGUGCUGCGCUGCAGUUGGGUUUCUCCCAUAGCUCCUCCAGAAAGUUGGCCACUAGAAAAUGAGCGGCUGAUGCAGCACAGGGGAAAGCAACAUUCCUCCCCCUGGAAACCACCAUCUGCUUCCAGACACAUCCUCUUCACGCGCCUCUUCAUCCCUCACUAGAGCCUAAUCACAGAAGCCUUUUUAAUUAAAAGAGGUGGCUCAAUGCAUCUUUUUCCUAUUGAUCUGGAGUCAACAAGAAACCAUAAACCAAGAAAUUAAAAUAAUAAUUUAUAGCCUCUGGCCUGACUGCCUGUUAGCUCUGUUUGCCAUAUUGUACACAAUGGUUUCCUGCCUCUGCCAGUAUAUAAACUCAAUACAAGAGCUCCAAAAAGGGAGAGGAGAAAAAAAAAGCCAAACCCCCCACACACAACCCUAUAAGGCUUCCUCUAGAAACCAGCUCUGAGGAUGGUUUUCAGCUCACCCUUUGUCUGAUCUGGGGCCAACCCUCAGUUCCAAUCAUAACAGAAAACAGCGAAGAUGAAAGGCCAAACUCCAUUUCUUUCCAACUUGAGCCAGGUGUACAGCUGGCACCAGCAGCCUCCAAUGGAAACAUGUUCCAGUGAAGACAUGUUAAAGCAAUAAAAAGAAAAUGAGUAACAUGUGGCU
ensembl:lncRNA